rnacentral:rRNA from 1 species
AGCUCCAAUAGCAUAUACCAAUUCUGCUGCUGUUGAAAAGCUCGUAGUUGGAUCUAUCCAAAGUGCGCGGUCGGCCUCAAUGGUCUGUACUGUGUCACAAUGGAACUUUUGUUGGUCUUCUCAUGUUGCUCUUCACUGAGUGGCAUGGGUGGCUAGCGUCUUUACUUUGAAAAAAUUAGAGUGCUCAAAACAAGCGUUACGGCUCGAAUAGUGGUGCAUGGAAUAAUGGAAUAGGAUCUCGGUUCUAUUUUGUUGGUUUUAAGAAUGGAGAUAAUGAUAAAAAGGAACAGCACGGGGACAUUUGUAUUUCGGCGCUAGAGGUGAAAUUCUUGGAUCGCUGAACGACAAACAAUUGCGAAAGCAUUUGUCAAGAAUGUUUUCAUUAAUCAAGAACGAAAGU